rnacentral:lncRNA from 1 species
AUAAUACGGGCAUGUGUUGGGCUACACGACCGUGGGAAAAGCUAAUUACAUUACACAGGGCGUGCCAGAAGGCUGUGUGCCAAUAUCUUAAUUCGCGAAGAACACGACUGAGCCGCGGCCCACACGGGCGUGUGCACCGGCCGUGCCAUUUGAGAAAUGAGAAUAAUUAUUUUAUUUUAUUUUCCUUUCAUUAAGUUUUUAAGAUUCAUUUGCUUUCCUUUUCAACAUGGCUUAUCUUUGUGACCUUUGCUUGAUA